UACGGGGGGGGCAAGCGUUGUUCGGAAUUACUGGGCGUAAAGGGCUCGUAGGUGGCCAACUAAGUCAGACGUGAAAUCCCUCGGCUUAACCGGGGAACUGCGUCUGAUACUGGAUGGCUUGAAUCCGGGAGAGGGAUGCGGAAUUCCAGGUGACGUAGGCGGUGAAAAUGCGUAGAUAUCUGGAGGAACACCAGUGGCGAAGGCGGCGACCUGGACGGACACUGACGCUGAGACGCGAAAGCGUGGGGAGCAAACAGG
rnacentral:rRNA from 1 species